UCGGGAAUUUUGGGCAAUGGGCGAAAGCCUGACCCAGCAACGCCGCGUGAAGGAUGAAGUAUUUCGGUAUGUAAACUUCGAAAGAAUAGGAAGAAUAAAUGACGGUACUAUUUAUAAGGUCCGGCUAACUACGUGCCAGCAGCCGCGGUAAUACGUAGGGACCAAGCGUUGUUCGGAUUUACUGGGCGUAAAGGGCGCGUAGGCGGCAUGACAAGUCACUUGUGAAAUCUCUGGGCUUAACCCAGAACGGCCAAGUGAUACUGUCGCGCUAGAGUGCAGAAGGGGCAAUCGGAAUUCUUGGUGUAGCGGUGAAAUGCGUAGAUAUCAAGAGGAACACCUGAGGUGAAGACGGGUUGCUGGGCUGACACUGACGCUGAGGCGCGAAAGCCAGGGGAGCAAACGGGAUUAGAUACCCCCGUAGUCCCUGAGCGGGCUGGCAAGGCGCAU
rnacentral:rRNA from 1 species